rnacentral:rRNA from 1 species
GAUGAACGCUGGCGGCGUGCCUAAUACAUGCAAGUAGAACGCUGAAGGAAGGAGCUUGCUCUUUCCGGAUGAGUUGCGAACGGGUGAGUAACGCGUAGGUACCUGCCUGGUAGCGGGGGAUAACUAUUGGAAACGAUAGCUAAUACCGCAUAACAGUAGAUGUUGCAUGAUAUCUACUUAAAAGGUGCAAUUGCACCACUACCAGAUGGACCUGCGUUGUAUUAGCUAGUUGGUGAGGUAACGGCUCACCAAGGCGACGAUACAUAGCCGACCUGAGAGGGUGAUCGGCCACACUGGGACUGAGACACGGCCCAGACUCCUACGGGAGGCAGCAGUAGGGAAUCUUCGGCAAUGGACGGAAGGCUGACCGAGCAACGCCGCGUGAGUGAAGAAGGUUGUCGGAUCGUAAAGCUCUGUUGUAAGAGAAGAACGAGGGUGAGAGUGGAAAGUUCACACUGUGACGGUAUCUUACCAGAAAGGGACGGCUAACUACGUG